rnacentral:rRNA from 1 species
UACGUAGGGUGCAAGCGUUAAUCGGAAUUACUGGGCGUAAAGCGUGCGCAGGCGGUUGUGCAAGACCGAUGUGAAAUCCCCGGGCUUAACCUGGGAAUGGCAUUGGUGACUGCACGGCUAGAGUGUGUCAGAGGGGGGGUAGAAUUCCACGUGUAGCAGUGAAAUGCGUAGAUAUCUGGAGGAACACCGGUGGCGAAGGCGGCAUCCUGGACCAACACUGACACUGAUGAGCGAAAGCCAGGGGAGCAAACGGG